rnacentral:rRNA from 1 species
UACAGGGGGUGCAAACGUUUGCUCGGAAUUAUUGGGCGUAAAGCGCGUGUAGGCGGCUUUGCAAGUCGGAUGUGAAAGCCCACGGCUCAACCGUGGAAGUGCAUCCGAAACUGCAUGGCUUGAGUCUCGGAGAGGAAGGUGGAAUGCUUGGUGUAGAGGUGAAAUUCGUAGAUAUCAAGCAGAACACCUGCGGCGAAGGCGGCCUUCUGGACGAUGACUGACGCUGAGACGCGAAAGCGUGGGGAGCAAACAGG